rnacentral:rRNA from 1 species
UACGUAGGGUGCAAGCGUUAAUCGGAAUUACUGGGCGUAAAGCGUGCGCAGGCGGUUAUGUAAGACAGAUGUGAAAUGCCCGGGCUAACCUGGGAACUGCAUUUGUGACUGCAUGGCUAGAGUUUGGCAGAGGGGGGUAGAAUUCCACGUGUAGCAGUGAAAUGCGUAGAUAUGUGGAGGAACACCGAUGGCGAAGGCAGCCCCCUGGGUCAAGAUUGACGCUCAUGCACGAAAGCGUGGGGAGCAAACAGGAUUAGAAACCCCGUG